rnacentral:rRNA from 1 species
GACGAACGCUGGCGGCGUGCUUAACACAUGCAAGUCGAACGGAAAGGCCCUGCUUUUGUGGGGUGCUCGAGUGGCGAACGGGUGAGUAACACGUGAGUAACCUGCCCUUGACUUUGGGAUAACUUCAGGAAACUGGGGCUAAUACCGGAUAGGAGCUCCUGCUGCAUGGUGGGGGUUGGAAAGUUUCGGCGGUUGGGGAUGGACUCGCGGCUUAUCAGCUUGUUGGUGGGGUAGUGGCUUACCAAGGCUUUGACGGGUAGCCGGCCUGAGAGGGUGACCGGCCACAAUGGGACUGAGAUACGGCCCAGGCUCCGACGGGGGGCAGGAGUGGGGAAUAUUGCACAAUGGGCGGAAGCCUGAUGCAGCAACGCCGCGUGCGGGAUGACGGCCUUUGGGUUGUAAACCGCUUUCGCCUGUGACGAAGCGUGAGUGACGGUAAUGGGUAAAGAAGCACCGGCUAACUACGUG